ensembl:snRNA U1 U1 spliceosomal RNA
AUACUUACCUGUCAGGGAGAUACCAUGAGCACAAAGGUGGUUUUCAUAGGCAAAGCCUGUCCAUUGCACUGGGGAUGGGUUGACUUCUGUGAUUUCCUCAAACGUGGAAUACUCAACUGCAUAAUUUGUGGUAGUCGAGGACUGAGUUUGUGCUUUACCCUUGU